UACGAAGGGUGCAAGCGUUACUCGGAAUUACUGGGCGUAAAGCGUGCGUAGGUGGUUUGUUAAGUCUGUUGUGAAAGCCCCGGGCUCAACCUGGGAAUGGCAAUGGAUACUGGCAGGCUAGAGUGCGGUAGAGGGUAGUGGAAUUCCCGGUGUAGCGGUGAAAUGCGUAGAGAUCGGGAGGAACACCGGUGGCGAAGGCAGGUCUCUGGGCUGACACUGACGCUCGAUGCACGAAAGCGUGGGGAGCAAACAGG
rnacentral:rRNA from 1 species